rnacentral:rRNA from 1 species
AUGACAUAUAUAGCUAGUUCUUACACAUCAACAAAAGUGGCAAUAAAUUGUUCUAGUUCUUGCAGAUCAACAGAGAACAACCAAACAAGCACAAGUCUAAAUAAUACAAGGUCUAACACAUCUCUAAUAAAUAGAAAUUACAGCGAGAGGGAGAGAUACAGAGAGAGAAAUUGCAGUAGGUUCAGUUUGGUGAAGAAGAACAGCAGCAAGGGUUUUGGUUCAGAAAAGAAGCAGCGAGAGAAGUGGAGGGAGCAACAGCUAGGCGGAGAAGAGAAGAGCAGCAGGGGCGUGAAGAAGAAGCAGAAGCAGGGGCAUGGCGAAGAGGAGCUGCAGUUGGAGAAGAAGGAGGAGCAACGACAAUCUACAAGUUUUGGGUUCAGAAUAGUAGCAGCAAGAGAGAGAGGCAGCAGGGAAGAGCAGCAACAGAAGGGGCAAGGGGAGAAGAAGCAGUAG